GGGUUGUGAGGUUAAGCGACUAAGCGUACACGGUGGAUGCCCUGGCAGUCAGAGGCGAUGAAGGGCGUGCUAAUCUGCGAUAAGCGCCGGUAAGGUGAUAUGAACCGUUAUAACCGGCGAUACCCGAAUGGGGAAACCCAGUGUGACUCGUCACACUAUCAUUAACUGAAUCCAUAGGUUAAUGAGGCGAACCGGGGGAACUGAAACAUCUAAGUACCCCGAGGAAAAGAAAUCAACCGAGAUUCCCCCAGUAGCGGCGAGCGAACGGGGAGGAGCCCAGAGCCUGAAUCAGCAUAUGUGUUAGUGGAAGCGUCUGGAAAGGCGCGCGAUACAGGGUGACAGCCCCGUACACAAAAGCGCAUGUGCUGUGAGCUCGAUGAGUAGGGCGGGACACGUGGUAUCCUGUCUGAAUAUGGGGGGACCAUCCUCCAAGGCUAAAUACUCCUGACUGACCGAUAGUGAACCAGUACCGUGAGGGAAAGGCGAAAAGAACCCCGGCGAGGGGAGUGAAAAAGAACCUGAAACCGUGUACGUACAAGCAGUGGGAGCACCCUUUGGGGUGUGACUGCGUACCUUUUGUAUAAUGGGUCAGCGACUUAUAUUCUGUAGCAAGGUUAACCGAAUAGGGGAGCCGGAGGGAAACCGAGUCUUAAUUGGGCGUUAAGUUGCAGGGUAUAGACCCGAAACCCGGUGAUCUAGCCAUGGGCAGGUUGAAGGUUGGGUAACACUAACUGGAGGACCGAACCGACUAAUGUUGAAAAAUUAGCGGAUGACCUGUGGCUGGGGGUGAAAGGCCAAUCAAACCGGGAGAUAGCUGGUUCUCCCCGAAAGCUAUUUAGGUAGCGCCUCGUGAAUUCAUCUCCGGGGGUAGAGCACUGUUUCGGCUAGGGGGCCAUCCCGGCUUACCAACCCGAUGCAAACUGCGAAUACCGGAGAAUGUUAUCACGGGAGACACACGGCGGGUGCUAACGUCCGUCGUGAAGAGGGAAACAACCCAGACCGCCAGCUAAGGUCCCAAAGUCAUGGUUAAGUGGGAAACGAUGUGGGAAGGCCCAGACAGCCAGGAUGUUGGCUUAGAAGCAGCCAUCAUUUAAAGAAAGCGUAAUAGCUCACUGGUCGAGUCGGCCUGCGCGGAAGAUGUAACGGGGCUAAACCAUGCACCGAAGCUGCGGCAGCGACGCUGAUGCGUUGUUGGGUAGGGGAGCGUUCUGUAAGCCUGCGAAGGUGGCCUGUGAGGGUUGCUGGAGGUAUCAGAAGUGCGAAUGCUGACAUAAGUAACGAUAAAGCGGGUGAAAAGCCCGCUCGCCGGAAGACCAAGGGUUCCUGUCCAACGUUAAUCGGGGCAGGGUGAGUCGACCCCUAAGGCGAGGCCGAAAGGCGUAGUCGAUGGGAAACGGGUUAAUAUUCCCGUACUUGGUGUUACUGCGAAGGGGGGACGGAGAAGGCUAUGUUGGCCGGGCGACGGUUGUCCCGGUUUAAGCGUGUAGGUGUGUGUUCCAGGUAAAUCCGGUUCACUUUAACACUGAGGCGUGAUGACGAGGCACUACGGUGCUGAAGCAACAAAUGCCCUGCUUCCAGGAAAAGCCUCUAAGCAUCAGGUAACAUCAAAUCGUACCCCAAACCGACACAGGUGGUCAGGUAGAGAAUACCAAGGCGCUUGAGAGAACUCGGGUGAAGGAACUAGGCAAAAUGGUGCCGUAACUUCGGGAGAAGGCACGCUGACACGUAGGUGAAGUGAUUUACUCAUGGAGCUGAAGUCAGUCGAAGAUACCAGCUGGCUGCAACUGUUUAUUAAAAACACAGCACUGUGCAAACACGAAAGUGGACGUAUACGGUGUGACGCCUGCCCGGUGCCGGAAGGUUAAUUGAUGGGGUCAGCGCAAGCGAAGCUCCUGAUCGAAGCCCCGGUAAACGGCGGCCGUAACUAUAACGGUCCUAAGGUAGCGAAAUUCCUUGUCGGGUAAGUUCCGACCUGCACGAAUGGCGUAAUGAUGGCCAGGCUGUCUCCACCCGAGACUCAGUGAAAUUGAACUCGCUGUGAAGAUGCAGUGUACCCGCGGCAAGACGGAAAGACCCCGUGAACCUUUACUAUAGCUUGACACUGAACAUUGAGCCUUGAUGUGUAGGAUAGGUGGGAGGCUUUGAAGUGUGGACGCCAGUCUGCAUGGAGCCGGCCUUGAAAUACCACCCUUUAAUGUUUGAUGUUCUAACGUGGACCCGUGAUCCGGGUUGCGGACAGUGUCUGGUGGGUAGUUUGACUGGGGCGGUCUCCUCCUAAAGAGUAACGGAGGAGCACGAAGGUUGGCUAAUCCUGGUCGGACAUCAGGAGGUUAGUGCAAUGGCAUAAGCCAGCUUGACUGCGAGCGUGACGGCGCGAGCAGGUGCGAAAGCAGGUCAUAGUGAUCCGGUGGUUCUGAAUGGAAGGGCCAUCGCUCAACGGAUAAAAGGUACUCCGGGGAUAACAGGCUGAUACCGCCCAAGAGUUCAUAUCGACGGCGGUGUUUGGCACCUCGAUGUCGGCUCAUCACAUCCUGGGGCUGAAGUAGGUCCCAAGGGUAUGGCUGUUCGCCAUUUAAAGUGGUACGCGAGCUGGGUUUAGAACGUCGUGAGACAGUUCGGUCCCUAUCUGCCGUGGGCGCUGGAGAACUGAGGGGGGCUGCUCCUAGUACGAGAGGACCGGAGUGGACGCAUCACUGGUGUUCGGGUUGUCAUGCCAAUGGCACUGCCCGGUAGCUAAAUGCGGAAGAGAUAAGUGCUGAAAGCAUCUAAGCACGAAACUUGCCCCGAGAUGAGUUCUCCCUGAGACUU
rnacentral:rRNA from 1 species